rnacentral:lncRNA from 1 species
UUUUACUCCAGUGAUAUAACCCCACAUAUUCUUCCCACGAAGAAAAUUCUUCAUGACAUAACUCUAAUAGGCAUAGUUCUUACCAUCUAAUUGAGUACUAAUGGACUGGAGAGAAUCAUCCUUUCCAGUCAUUGUAAACACAGCAACACACAAACAAUUCAAAAAACAAAAAGAUGCAAAACCCUAGGUUGAACAAUUCCGAACGAACAACAAUGGCAGCAAGCAAAAGAACGAAAGACGAACAAUACCAGACAGCAAACGAAUACAGCAGCACCUCAAAAUUCGGGGCUCCGCCCCGAACCCCAGACGGGGGCGCGCUGCCCCCCGUACCUCCCAGCGAACUCACCGCGGAGUUCGAUCCGCGCAGUAGGUGCCUGCUACAAAAUCUUCAACCAACAAAUCAAAGGACAUGGAUCAAACUAGCUUUGAUACCAUGUUAAUAGAACUUUAUUGAAAGAAAGAAAGGCUAAGGUUUACAAUAUAAUCUGAAAAGCAUAAAAAAAACUAAAGCAAAAGUAGGCUAUAUAUAUACAUAGCCAAUAACCUAAAGGUCCAUAAACUAAAGGCCCAAUAACAUAUGGGCUAACAAUAUCAAGUGGAGUCUGGUUUUGUUUGCUAAAUGACAUCUUCUUUGCUCUGGGAUGGUUUAUUAAUUCAGGCACAUGGUUACCAGAUGCAGCAAGCAAAUGGAGAGGAGUGUUGCCGCUACUAUCUGGCUCAUCGACAAGGCUGUCGCACUUAUCAUAGCCUAAUAAUACGCGGACUAC